rnacentral:tRNA from 1 species
GGAAGUGUAGCUCAGUUGGUUUAGAGCACUUGGUUUACACCCAAGAAGUCAUAGGUUCGAAUCCUAUCAUUUCCA